rnacentral:rRNA from 1 species
GUACACAAUCUACCUCUAGGCGGGGGACACCUCCUGGAAACGGGGAUUAAUACCGCAUAAUAUGCCGAGGUCGCAUGACUUUGGUAUUAAAGCAGCAAUGCACUUAGAGAUGAGUGUGCGUCCCAUUAGGUAGUUGGUGAGGUAACGGGCUCACCAAGCCUAUGAUGGGUAGCCGGUCUGAGAGGAUGGUCGGCCACACGGGCACUGAGACACGGGCCCGACUCCUACGGGAGGCCAGCAGUAAGGAAUAUUGGUCAAUGGUGGAAACACUGAACCAGCCAUGCCGCGUGGAGGAAUAAGGCCCUACGGAUUGUAAACUCCUUUUGACGAGGAAGAAAGUGUUAGAUUUAUCUAAUUUUGACGGUACUCGUAGAAUAAGCACCGGUUAACUCCGUG